UACGUAGGUGACAAGCGUUGUCCGGAUUUACUGGGCGUAAAGCGCACGUAGGCGGAUCGUUAAGUCGGGGGUGAAAUCCUGGAGCUCAACUCCAGAACUGCCUUCGAUACUGGCGAUCUCGAGUCCGGAAGAGGUGAGUGGAACUCCUAGUGUAGAGGUGGAAUUCGUAGAUAUUAGGAAGAACACCAGUGGCGAAGGCGACUCACUGGUCCGGUACUGACGCUGAGGUGCGAAAGCGUGGGGAGCAAACAGG
rnacentral:rRNA from 1 species